GGUUGAUCCUGCCGGACCUUACUGCUAUCGGGUGAAGACUAAGCCAUGCGAGUUAUGCUUCCCCUAGCCAUGUUGGGGACGCAGCGCACGGCUCCGUAACACGUAGUUAAUCUGCCCUUGGGACGGGUAUAACCCUGGGAAACUGGGGCUAAUUCCCGAUAGGCGCAGUGGCCUGGAAUGGUACUGCACCGAAAGGGCUCCAGGAACAUGCUCUUGGAGUCGCCCAAGGAUGAGGCUGCGGCCGAUCAGGUUGUUGGUGGGGUAACGGCCUACCAAGCCUAUAACCGGUACGGGCCCUGAGAGGGGUGGCCCGGAGAUGGGAACUGAGACAAGGUCCCAGGUCCUACGGGGCGCAGCAGGCGCGAAAACUCCACAAUGCGCGAAUGCGUGAUGGGGUUAGCCCGAGUGCCGUCCGAUGAGGAUGGCUUUUCUUCAGUUUAAGGAGCUGGAGGAAUAAAGGGGGGGCAAGACUGGUGUCAGCCGCCGCGGUAAUACCAGCCCCCUGAGUGGUAAGGACGAUUAUUUGGCCUAAAGCGUCCGUAGCCGGCUUGGUAAGUCUUCCGUUAAAUCCGACGAUUCCAUCGCCGGACCGCGGAAGAUACUGCUAGGCUUGAGGACGGGAGAGGUUGACGGUAGUCCCGGGGUAGGGGUGAAAUCCUAUAAUCCCGGGAGGACCACCAGUGGCGAAGGCGGUCGACUAGAACGUGCCUGACGGUGAUGGACGAAAGCUGGGGGAGCGAACCGGAUUAGACACCCGGGUAGUCCCAGCUGUAAACGAUGCGAGCUAGGUGUUGGAGCAACUACGGGUUGCUCCAGUGCCGCAGAGAAGUUGUUAAGCUCGCCGCCUGGGAAGUACGGCCGCAAGGCUGAAACUUAAAGGAAUUGGCGGGGGAGCACCACAAGGGGUGAAGCCUGCGGUUCAAUUGGAGUCAACGCCGGA
rnacentral:rRNA from 1 species